rnacentral:rRNA from 1 species
UAGGGAAUAUUGGGCAAUGGGCGAAAGCCUGACCCAGCAACGCCGCGUGCGCGAUGAAGGCCUUCGGGUUGUAAAGCGCUUUUCUGGGGGAAGAGCAAGGACGGUACCCCAGGAAUAAGGUUCGGCUAACUACGUGCCAGCAGCCGCGGUAACACGUAGGAACCGAGCGUUAUCCGAAUUUACUGGGCGUAAAGCGCGUGUAGGUGGUUCGAUAAGUUGGGUGUGAAAGCUCCUGGCUCAACUAGGAGAGGCCGCUCAAGACUGUCGGACUUGAGAACGGUAGAGGGAGGUGGAAUUCCCGGUGUAGUGGUGAAAUGCGUAGAUAUCGGGAGGAACACCAGUGGCGAAGGCGGCCUCCUGGACCGUUUCUGACACUGAGACGCGAAAGCUAGGGGAGCGAACGGGAUUAGAUAACCCGGUAGUCCUAGCUGUAAACGAUGUGGACUUGGCGUUGGUGGUGUAAAAACCAUCAGUGCCGUAGCUAACGCGGUAAGUCCACCGCCUGGGAACUACGGCCGCAAGGUUAAAACUC